UUUAUUGAGAGUUUGAUCCUGGCUCAGGACGAACGCUGGCGGCGUGCCUAACACAUGCAAGUCGAGCGAAUGAAGUUCCUUCGGGAAUGGAUUUAGCGGCGGACGGGUGAGUAACACGUGGGCAACCUACCUCAUAGAGGGGAAUAGCCUUCCGAAAGGGAGAUUAAUACCGCAUAAGAUUGUAGUAUCGCAUGAUACAGCAAUUAAAGGAGCAAUCCGCUAUGAGAUGGGCCCGCGGCGCAUUAGCUAGUUGGUGAGGUAACGGCUCACCAAGGCGACGAUGCGUAGCCGACCUGAGAGGGUGAUC
rnacentral:rRNA from 2 species